GCUCAGAAACUCAAAGGAAGUUGACGGGGCCCGGCACAAGCGGUGGAGUAUGUGGUUUAAUUCGAUGCAACGCGAAGAACCUUACCUGGUCUUGACAUCCCGGAGACCCUUAGGAAACUAGGGGGUGCUUCCAUCUGGAAGAAUCUGGAGACAGGUGCUGCAUGGCUGUCGUCAGCUCGUGUCGUGAGAUGUUGGGUUAAGUCCCGCAACGAGCGCAACCCUUGCCUUUAGUUGCCAGCAGUUCGGCUGGGCACUCUAAAGGGACUGCCGGUGUUAAACCGGAGGAAGGUGGGGAUGACGUCAAGUCCUCAUGGCCUUUAUGACCAGGGCUACACACGUACUACAAUGGCCGAUACAAAGGGCAGCGACACUGCGAGGUGAAGCCAAUCCCGUAAAAUCGGUCUCAGUCCGGAUUGGAGUCUGCAACUCGACUCCAUGAAGUUGGAAUCGCUAGUAAUCGUGGAUCAGCAUGCCACGGUGAAUACGUUCCCGGGCCUU
rnacentral:rRNA from 1 species